GAAGUGAUGAAGUAAUGAAGCCUGUGUUGGUAGGGACAUCUGAGACUCUUGAAUGCCAACCACUCUGAAGGAGCAUC
rnacentral:snoRNA from 1 species